UGCAUGUCUAAGUACAGACCUUCAUACGGUGAAACCGCGAAUGGCUCAUUAAAUCAGCUAUGGUUCCUUUGAUCAUACAUACUACAUGGAUACCUGUAGUAAUUCUAGAGCUAAUACAUGCCACUAUGCCCUGACCCUUCCGGGAACGGGUGGAUUUAUUAGAACAGAACCAAUACAGCUCCCGCUGUUUAUUCUGUGAUGACUCUGGAUAACUUAACUGAUCGCAGUCGGCCUUGCGUCGGCGACGGAUCUUUCAAAUGGCUGCCCUAUCAAUUGUCGAUGGUAGGUGACCUGCCUACCAUGGUAAUAACGGGUAACGGGGAAUCAGGGUUCGAUUCCGGAGAGGGAGCCUGAGAAACGGCUACCACAUCCAAGGAAGGCAGCAGGCGCGCAAAUUACCCAAUCCCGGUACGGGGAGGUAGUGACGAAAAAUACGGAGACGGGACUCUCUAUGGGCCUCCGACAUCCGAGUGAGUACAUUUUAAAUCCUUUAACGAGGAUCAACUGGAGGGCAAGUCUGGUGCCAGCAGCCGCGGUAACUCCAGCUCCAGAAGCGUAUAUUAAAGUUGUUGCAGUUAAAAAGCUCGUAGUUGGAUCUGGGUUGCAUGGCCGCACGUUGUGGUUGGUCCAUUGCAUCUAUUCAUGGUGUGGGGCUGCUUGAUGUCGUGGUUGUGUGAUCUUUCUGCCGUAUCUGUUUAUUCAGGUGCUGGUUGAUUU
rnacentral:rRNA from 1 species